CUAUCUAUAGUCUAUUUAUCUAUCUAUAGUCUGUCUAUCUAUAGUCCGUCUAUCUAUAGUCUAUCUAUCUAUAGUCUAUCUAUAGUCUAUCUAUCUAUCUAUCUAUCUAUCUAUCUAUCUAUCUAUCUAUCUAUCUAUCUAUCUAUCUAUCUAUCUAUCUAUCUAUCAUUUAUUGUGUUAGAUUUUUUUAAAGCAGAAUGUGUAAAAGCGUGUUAUGAAUGAUUCACCUGUGCGACAACAUAUUUGUCACUGUUGUCCAUGUUGUGGUUGAUUUGUGGUGAAGCCUCGUCGGUGUUGGCUGUCCCAGCAUCUGAGCGACUCUGUGGAAGUCAAGGUCUCUUUUUAAAGUACUGGACCACAAACACCGCCUGGACAGACACACAGAAGAGACAGUCGCUUCAAUCAGUCCAAAUGAGUCUUUCCACAAAAAUCACCUGUUUGCAUGACGAGAAAGGAGAUUUAUGGUUUAAUCAUGAGGUAAAUACACAGAUAUGCACUGCUAAGCAACUAAUGAGUGAGCCAAAGACCAGCCAGGAUUGGGUUCUUCCACUGCUGAGGUCUUUAACUGGAACUGCAGGGAGAUUCAUCAGUUUUCCUUCCACUGUUACUGUCACCCAGCUUCCUGUUCCAGUGCAUGACUCCCUGUACAAAAGAGGAAUUCAAGUUCAUCCAACCGAUAACAGCUUUCGUGUGUGUGUGUGUGUGUGUGUGUGUGUGUGUGUGUGUGUGUGUGUGUGUGUGUGUGUGUGUGUGUGUGUGUGUGUGUGUGUGUGUGUGUGUGUGUGUCCUGCAGCAAUUCAGUCCAUUAGACAGUUUUCUAUUAAGGAAAGAGCCUAAAUUUAUUUGGCCAACUUACAUAGUGAUGUAGAGCCAGAGUUCUGGACCAACUCCCUAAAAAGAGGCUCUUUAUUACUAAAACACGGCUUUAAAAAUGUGAUGAAUGUGAAAGAAAGUAAAUGAUUCUUGAUAAAUACUGUGAUUUGAGUAUAUAGAAAUUAUGAUAUGCACAGAAUUGCUAAUGUAGAAUUUAAAAAAAGGGCUUGGUCUGUGAUGUGAUUUAUUCUGAUUAACUUUUGGAAGUAUAAUUGUGAAAGUGGUUUUGGUAAACAUUCGAGAUGGUUGGGUUAGCUAAAGGUAAAAAUCUGAUUAUAUACACAGCAUAUAAUGGAACCCAUUAAAAGGCGGGAUCUCAUUAACGGUUGAGUCACGAUUCAGACUCCAUUCAUUCUCCAACAGGAACAUGUUGGUCUGCUACUCUGACGGUCACAUCGACCUUCAUAUCGAACACAGAAAAGCGCACAGAGCUCCCAGAUGUUUCUGAAAGGCUGGCUGUUUUAUCCAGGAUGUAGCAGUAAUUUCCUAAGGGGUUGCAGCACCAUAUCAGCUGAUCUUCCUGAGGUGAACCAAGCACAGGUUGCAGAGGCAGCACAGGAUUUUUGGGCAAUUUAGAACUUCCUAAUGAGUUUGGAUAAAGUCACUGUUCCCUCUAAGCUGCGCGCGUGCGCAAUUGCGCACUGCUGACACGGUCUCCGCGCACAGAAAAUCUGCACUGCGCACAAAAAAAAAAUCCAACCUAAAUUGUAAAUAAAAUAAACACGUAAUAAUUCAUUAUGUGCUACUUUUCAAUGUGAGUCAGUGAGUGACCGGUGACUGGCUGCUGCAGCCAAUGAUGCGAUUCACAUACGUAUUUACCAUAGACUGUAUAUAAUGGUAUUUACGCAGCUAAUCAACGUCAGGCGUCCUUAUGUGCAGCCACCUUUGUUCUCAUAGAUAUGAAUGAGUAGAUAGGACACGCCCCUUUGAGCUGCGUGCUACAGCGAGGCUAAGCUAGUGGGGACAAAGUUUCAGUGCAUUCCGUUGAUGUAGACGGCGUGGAAACGGAAACAAGAAGUAUGCCGGCUCACUGUGCUGCAUACAGUUACACACUACGUCGUACGAUUGAGACAAGGAAACUUGGAAUGACUUUUCAUAGGUAAGAAUAGUUUUUGGCUCUUUUUUCAUUAUUAAAUCGUGUUGAGAGCUUCCAGUCUAUGAGAGCUAACUAGUUAGCCACUAGCAAAACACUAAGGCGAGCUAGCAGCUUGACAACCAAAUACCAGACGAUUAAUAGUAGCUGUAGUAUAGUUGUACAAGCAGUAGUAGUAAUACUAAAAGUACAAGCAGUAGUAGUAUAAACAGCUGUUAGAGUCAUAGAAGUAGUAUCAGCAUUUGUAAUAGUAUUACAAGUUGUAGUAGCAGUGCCAGUAUCAGCAGCAGUAGUGAGUACUACCAAUACUACUAGUAGUAGUCACAUUGCUAUUACUACCACCAAUACUACCAAUAGUAGUUAGAAAGCCGAACUCAUGUAUAUCCAGAUUACCAUCUAUGUUCGUCCUCCAAACCCAUUUUAUGAUUGGGAUUACAGGUAGUUCUUUAGGACUGCUCUCAAAUAAUUGAAAUGUUACUAAACAAGGUUAUACUUAUCAAAUUAAAUAACUCUGGUCUCCAGUAUAUUGGCGAAUUCGGUUCUUUGUACUCAAUUUAUUAGCAUGAUUUCUUUUUAAUAUGUUGCGUACAGACUUAAUUACUUCUCUGUCUACUUUUCUUACUCCAUGUAGGUUUCCCAGAGACUAUGGGUUGAGGAAGAAUUGGAAGUUUGUCGGCUUAGACCUGGUGUCAUUCCAUCAGUGUUAAACUUCCCGGCUCAUCUUGGAAGAGUACGUGCCAGAAAGACCACGACCAAGCAGCCUUGAGAUCUUAGGCAGCGUCUCCCUCAGGUCCCUCUCUAUCUCCCCACACAUCCACCAACCACUGGAACACAUCUCCAAAGUUCUGCUGGACCAGCUCAGCUUCCCCUCAGAAGAAGUGCUGCCACCUGCCAGAUGAAGGAGCCUUUUGAGAGGCAGCUGACAUCAUGAUUGGACUGUACUUUGGUCUGUUCCAAUCCAGCUUCAGCUCCAGAGACGGCAGGCGGGACGAGUCAACGGAGGCCGAGUGGACGAAGACUAAAGAACUACAGACUCUUCACAACCUGCUCAAACUCUUGGUACAGGACCUCACCACACGGGUCAAGAAGGUUUCCAUCUCAUUUCUACUCUGAAGAUCACCUUCUCCUGCUCAAACUGCUGACAAAUGUUUCUGCUGCUCUAAAGUCUGGUCUCCAGAACUUCCUAAAAACUCUCAAAGUCUCUUCUGCUGCAGGUUGCUUUGUAGAACUGUUCCAGAAAACCUCACUAAACCACAUGGAGGGGCCUCAAGAUAGUCGUCUAAAUGAAACCAUACAAAAACCAAACUAGCACAACCCAAACGCUAAAGUCUCCUGCAGCCUACCAGAGAACCUCUGAGAACAGAGAAUCAGGACAGGAACUCUUACCUUCUGGACAACCAAUGCUGUUCACAAGAAUACAGAAUGUGUCUGACCAAAAACCUCUGAAGACUCACUACAGCCAAGAUAAAGACACAACUCAGCUGCACCAAAUCCACUAAUCACUGCUCACAGUUGUACCAUGUGCUAACUGUGGCUGAAGAACCACAUUUAUCAAGACAACUAUCCAGUACAAAGCCCUAAAACACACCAAGAAACACAUUAAAGACGAUUUUACUGCUGGAAGCUGCAAGCCAACGCCUAAAGAACAAACUGAAGCAACGGAACCAAACCCAGGUCACUGGUGAAGAGAAACAGAGGAAAUGUUUGUCUGCAGCUAAACAAAGCAGGAAGACACUGAGCUGCUCAGGUGUUCCUGAUAACACCAAGCAGCCACCUGGACAGCCAAUAGGAACACAGCUUCCUGGAAGUCCAGAGGGCUGGCUUAGUGAAGGAAAUUUAGUUUAAAGUUGAAGCAGAAAGUUAACAAAGAAAGUUGAAAACCACCUUCUGAUCCCUGAAAUCUCUGAGUUUUCACACAAAGAACACCUGAACAUGUCAAACUGGUUCCAUAGUAGAACCCUCAUUGUAAAAACAUCAUAGUAUGGUGUGUUGCUCAAAAAACAUUAGGACCCGGCUGUCAGGGGACAAACAUGUAAGAAGCAUGAGAACAGAGAGAACCCAACCAGUAGGUCACAGUUUAUCAUCAUCUAAUCAUCUCCUGAAGUCCAUAUGGUGAGAGACAUCAGUAUCUGGUUGUUCAUUUACCAGAGGAUGCUUAUAAUCAUGCUGAUGUGGUCUGUACUCUACAGUAUUUUAGUGACUCAAUAAAUGCCUAAGUUGUUUUUUUAAAAUGCUUUUUAGUUUUUAAUAAACAUUUAACAGCCUAUAUGUGAUCAAUAAAUGGCCUUUGCCUAUCUUAAGAAAAAUUCACUCAGAACUCAGAUAUGUUAACAGUACUAAAUAAAUCAAUAAAUACAUGCAUACACAC
ensembl:lncRNA